rnacentral:rRNA from 1 species
UACGGGGGGAGCAAGCGUUGUUCGGAUUUACUGGGCGUAAAGGGCGCGUAGGCGGUCAGCACAAGUCAGUUGUGAAAUCUCCGGGCUUAACUCGGAAAGGUCAACUGAUACUGUGCGACUAGAGUGCAGAAGGGGCAACUGGAAUUCUCGGUGUAGCGGUGAAAUGCGUAGAUAUCGGGAGGAACACCUGUGGCGAAAGCGGCGCACUGGACCAUAACUGACGCUGAGGCGCGAAAGCUAGGGGAGCAAACAGG